GACGAACGCUGGCGGCGUGCCUAAUACAUGCAAGUAGAACGCACAGUUUAUACCGUAGCUUGCUACACCAUAAACUGUGAGUUGCGAACGGGUGAGUAACGCGUAGGUAACCUGCCUGGUAGCGGGGGAUAACUAUUGGAAACGAUAGCUAAUACCGCAUAAUAUUGAUUAUUGCAUGAUAAUUGAUUGAAAGAUGCUAUUGCAUCACUACCAGAUGGACCUGCGUUGUAUUAGCUAGUAGGUGAGGUAACGGCUCACCUAGGCGACGAUACAUAGCCGACCUGAGAGGGUGAUCGGCCACACUGGGACUGAGACACGGCCCAGACUCCUACGGGAGGCAGCAGUAGGGAACCUUCGGCAAUGGACGAAAGUCUGACCGAGCAACGCCGCGUGAGUGAAGAAGGGUGUCGGAUCGUAAAGCUCUGUUGUAAGAGAAGAACGGGUGUGAGAGUGGAAAGUUCACACUGUGACGGUAUCUUACCAGAAAGGGACGGCUAACUACGUG
rnacentral:rRNA from 1 species